rnacentral:rRNA from 1 species
UAUUAUUCCAAGAUAAAUAAAUUUCUAGGUUAGUAAUAGAUAUUUACUUAAAAGCUAAAAAAUUUGGCGGUAAUUUAAUCUUUUCAGAGGAACUUGUUUUUUAAUCGAUAAUCCCCGAAAUAUCUUACUUACUUUGUAGAAAGUUUGUAUACCAUCAUUAACAGAUAAUUUUUAAAAAAUAAAUUAUUAAAAAUAAAAGAUUAUAAAAAUUAGAUCAAGGUGCAGCUAAUAGGUAAGUUAAAAUGAGUUACAAUAAAUUUUUUUAUAUGGAUAAGUAAUUUCAAAAUUAUUUAGAAGGAGGAUUUGGUUGUAUUUUAAGUUUAAUAAGCUUAUAAGAUGAUAGCUCUAAAUUAUGUACAUAU